UGAAAUUUCUGCUUGCUGCUGUUGUUGCUGUUGUUGUGUGUAAGAGGGUUCUGAAGUGCUGGCUGAGAGGCUAGACAAGGUGUGACAGCUGGAAAGUGGCAGGGCAGGGACUGGAACUCCAGAUUCCACAGCUGGCACUCUUAACCACUAACCAACACCGACUUCCACUAGAGGAAAGACUGCAGAACAGGAAAUAGCACUGUUUGGGCUGUGUCUAUACAAGCAAAGGCAAUUGGAGAGAAGCAGAAUAGGAUCCUCUACACGAACUGCCUUGGACUCUGGGACACUGGGAUGCUAGUUUCUCCAUUCUUCGGGAGCGCCCUUUGGCAGCCCCUUUCAUAGUCAGCUCAUAUCCUGCCACUUCUUGGAGCUGCUGCACGUAAGCUGGAGAAUGCAGACGGCGGAAAAUAACUAUUACGCUCCAGUGUGAGGCACUGUUUGUGGGGUGGGGCCCUCGGCGUGCUGGAGGUAGCGGACACAAAUCCACCAACCC
rnacentral:lncRNA from 1 species